rnacentral:lncRNA from 1 species
AGCAGUUAUAAAGGGCUAAAUCCAGGGUCAUUAAUUAAGUGGAUAAUUUAUACAUUUUAUUUCACAGAUUCACAGAAUCAUUAAGCUUGAAAAAAGUCACUAAGAUCAGCAGGUCCAACUGUCAACUCAUCCCCACUGUGCCCACUAAAGCAUGUUGCUCAAUAAGGACACUUGUCAUGUGGAAGAACAUGCAGCCUUGAAACGAGAUCCAGACCACCCAAUGACGCUGGUUUGCACAUCACUGCGCUGCCACUGGAGCUACGGUGGUGCACAUCAAUGGACAACCCAACACAGAUGUGGGUGAAUAAAUGGGUGUGUGGUUGGAUGUUGCAAGAGAUGCAUAUUCAGCAUUUCUGAUAAAAAAACAGAGCUGCUUUUUUUUUUCUUACUUGCCAGCCUUAAAAAGAUCGAUUGGCUUUUGCAAAACUCUCACCAAGAAGCCUGCAGAGAGGAAUCCAGCAUGAGCGAUCAUCAGCUGAGGAACAUCACAACCGUGUAAAAAGGAAACGGGAAAAGGAAAGUGUAUCUCACCGCUGUUCACUUCUAACAGGAGUAGAAGUGUUACACCCUGAGGUGCCAAACUGAAGACCUGAGGGAGAAUUAUCUCGUACAAGAUCAAGCAGGAAUGCCUACUGCAUGGUGUAUUGUUUGUGCAGUAACUUUUCUCCUGGGAAAGAACACGACUUUAUGGCAGACAGGAAUGCUGACCCACUUGCCUUCUGCUGCAGGCAUCCAUCAAACCUGGCCUCUGUUUCCCCUGGAGCCUUAAUUUUCCUCUUGACAGCAAAGACAAAUGACGGCCGCAGGGCUGUUUGCUUGUGUCUACUCAAGGUUUCCAUAACAUUUCUUAAAGAUGACCUGUUUUUAAACACACAUGGAGUUUUCUCUCUGCUGUCACCUACCAGCAUGAAAGCAGAAUCAGUCCCGUUUCAUCCACCAGAGCAAGAAGAGAUGUGUGAAGGUAAAACCAGAGUGUGCUUUCCUCUUGGGGAUGGAGGUGAGGUCCUGACACCUCCAUGA